rnacentral:lncRNA from 1 species
GGGGUCGGUUGGGAACGUGGACGAGGAGGAUUCCGUUCUUCACUCAGAGUGACUGCUAGUUCCAGAGGUGAAAGGGGAAUCCACGUGAUGCAUCGAGAAAGUCUUAUGACAGAAAAAUUUAACGUAAUCAAAGAUUAUUAAGAAUGGAGCAUAAAGGAUAAAGAAGAUACAAAGUGUGACCUUGCAUGUAUGGGCAGCAAAAGGAGCUAGCUAAUCCAAAAUGCUUUACACUCAUGGAAAUGAAGCAGUGCAUUAUAAUUGUUGAGGAAAAUUGGGAUUUGCAUAGUCUUCUAUCCGAGGAAAAUCAGGAUUUGCAUAGUCUUCACAUGCAUCCCAGGAGUUUUCUUUUCAACACAGAGAACUGUGCUGCACUCCAGUUGGAGAGACAGCACAGGCUUUGCCUUUGUCAAGUAUUGUAAAGUCAGUCUCAGCAAGAGUCCGAACAUCAACCUUGUGAUCCUGGGAUAUGGCGCACCCUGCAGAGAGCAAAGCAGUCCACAGGACUCCUGGCAAAGCUGUAUGGCAUCUGUCCAGUGGAAAAGUACACUGGACGACCCAAACUGAAGGACAUUCUACAAAUCAAAUGGCCAAGUCUUCCCUAAGUAUAGGCCAAGGAAUGAUACAAAAGAGGGGACCAAGCUGCUUCAAUAAAAUCUUUAUUUAAUAACUAUUAUUACA